rnacentral:rRNA from 1 species
CACGUAGGAGGCAAACGUUAUCCGGAUUUACUGGGCGUAAAGCGCGUGUAGGUGGUUCUGUAAGUAGGGCGUGAAAGCUCCCGGCUCAACUGGGAGAGGCCGUUCUAAACUGCAGAGCUAGAGGAUGGUAGAGGGAGGUGGAAUUCCAGGUGUAGCGGUGGAAUGCGCAGAUAUCUGGAGGAACACCAGUGGCGAAGGCGGCCUCCUGGACCAUUCCUGACACUCAGACGCGAAAGCUAGGGUAGCAAACGGGAUUAGAUACCCGUGUAGU